AUUCAGAAUGACAUCCUAAAGGAGUUCAUGGUCAGAAAUACUUAUAUUUUCCCCCCAGAGCCAUCCAUGAAGAUUAUCGCUGACAUUUUCCAAUACACAGCACAGCACAUGCCAAAAUUUAAUUCCAUUUCGAUUAGCGGGUACCACAUGCAGGAAGCAGGAGCUGAUGCCAUUUUAGAACUGGCCUAUACCAUCGCGGAUGGGUUGGAGUACUGCAGAACUGGACUCCAGGCUGGACUCACAAUUGAUGAAUUUGCGCCAAGGU
rnacentral:lncRNA from 1 species